rnacentral:rRNA from 1 species
AACGAACGCUGGCGGCAGGCCUAACACAUGCAAGUCGAGCGCCCUUUCGGGGGAGCGGCGGACGGGUGAGUAACGCGUGGGAAUAUGCCCUUCUCUACGGAAUAGCCUCGGGAAACUGAGAGUAAUACCGUAUACGCCCUGUGGGGGAAAGAUUUAUCGGGGAAGGAUUAGCCCGCGUUGGAUUAGGUAGUUGGUGGGGUAAUGGCCUACCAAGCCGACGAUCCAUAGCUGGUUUGAGAGGAUGAUAAGCCACACUGGGACUGAGACACGGCCCAGACUCCUACGGGAGGCAGCAGUGGGGUAUCUUAGACAAUGGGGGCAACCCUGAUCUAGCCAUGCCGCGUGAGUGAUGAAGGCCUUAGGGUUGUAAAGCUCUUUCAGCUGGGAAGAUAAUGACGGUACCAGCAGAAGAAGCCCCGGCUAACUCCGUG